UGCACCCUGCAGUGUUCGAGGUGCUCACAAAUCGCUCUUUGCCUACUUUUCAACUUAGGGAGCUGCCCCGGGCGCGCUGAUGCUAUGCCGUUCACCGGAAAGCAAAGGUUCGUCAGGAGGUUCCCACCUGUAACACAUCAGGACCAAGAGCCCGUAGGCAUACGGCACAACGUGGGGUGCGA
rnacentral:other from 1 species